UCCCUGGUGGUCUAAUGGCCAAGACACCACACUCCCAACAUAGGGGCCCCGGGUUCAAUCCCUGGUUGGGGAU
rnacentral:tRNA from 1 species